GACGAACGCUGGCGGCGUGCCUAACACAUGCAAGUCGAACGGAAAGGCCCUGCGCUUGUGGGGUGCGCGAGAGGCGAACGGGGGAGUGAAACGCGAGGAACCUGCCCUUGUCAUUGGGGGAACAUAAGGAAACUGGGGCGAAAAUAGGACAGGAGAUCCUGAAGCACGGGGGGGAAGGGAAAGAUUCGGCGGUUGGGGAUGGACUCGCGGCUUAUCAGCUUGUUGGGGGGGUAGUGGCGUACCAAGGCUUUGACGGGUAGCCGGCCUGAGAGGGUGACCGGCCACAAUACGACUACGGUAGGGCCCAGACUGCUACGGGGGGCAGCGGUGGGAAAUCUUGCACAGUAGGCCGCAGCCUGUUGCAACGACGUCGGGUGCGGAAUGCCGGCUUUCGGGUUGUAAACCGCUUUCGCCUGUGACGAAGCGUGAGUGACGGUAACGAGUCAAGAAGCACCGGCUAACUACGUG
rnacentral:rRNA from 1 species